rnacentral:rRNA from 1 species
CAGUCGCCGCGGGAAUACGUAGGUGGCAAGCGUUGUCCGGAAUUAUUGGGCGUAAAGCGCGCGCAGGUGGUUUAAUAAGUCUGAUGUGAAAGCCCACGGCUCAACCGUGGAGAGUCAUUGGAAACUGUUAAACUUGAGCGCAGGAGAGAAAAGUGGAAUUCCUAGUGUAGCGGUGAAAUGCGUAGAGAUGUGGAGGAACACCAGUGGCGAAGGCGAUUCUCUGGCCUGUAACUGACGCUGAGGAGCGAAAGCGUGGGGAGCGAACAGGAUUAGAUACCCCCGUAGUCCCUGUCUCUUAUAC